CCUACGGGUGGCAGCAGUGGGGAAUUUUGCGCAAUGCUCGUAAGAGUGACGCAGCGACGCCGCGUGAAGGAAGAAGGCCCUCGGGUUGUAAACUUCUUUUAUCAAGGACGAAACAAAUGACGGUACUUGAUGAAUAAGCCACGGCUAACUACGUGCCAGCAGCCGCGGUAAUACGUAGGUGACAAGCGUUAUCCGGAUUUACUGGGUGUAAAGGGCGUGUAGGCGGGACUGCAAGUCAGAUGUGAAAACCAUGGGCUCAACCCAUGGCCUGCAUUUGAAACUGUAGUUCUUGAGUGUUGGAGAGGCAGGCGGAAUUCCGUGUGUAGCGGUGAAAUGCGUAGAUAUACGGAGGAACACCAGUGGCGAAGGCGGCCUGCUGGACAAUAACUGACGCUGAGGCGCGAAAGCGUGGGGAGCAAACAGGAUUAGAUACACGUGUAGUC
rnacentral:rRNA from 1 species